CCUCCUCUGCCUGCUUAUAUUCCUGGUUAUUCUGUUUAUUCUCUGCUGGUUCCUCUGUUCUACACCCCUGGUUGAGUUCUGGUGGUGCUAUGUUUUCCCUCAGAAGACUCUUGUAUGUUUUGGCUUGACUCAUGGUCUGAGUUUUGCUGUUUGUGUUUGCCUGCUAUCUACUCUGCUUGGUCACUAAAUGGUGUUGGAGCUCACAGGUGCAGAGUGGAUAGGUGUUUCACAUUGACUAAUUGCCUGGAGGUGUAUUUAGGAUGGAAGCUGCCAGCACUAUGCCUGAAUAUUAACCACCAUGGUGAAUUCCAGACUCUUCUUAAAGAGUAACCUCUGGCUUCUGGAUAAGAUUCAAGUCUCCAGUUACCUCCUCUGGAAUAAGUUCUAGUUGGCAGCUAUAAGCAAACCCUGUCCACCCUCCAACAAACCUUGCAAGUACCUCCACACCUGAGCUCCACGCCAUCACCCCAGACUUCUCACACAAGCCUGGAUCAGAAAUCCAAGGGAUCUACGUACAAGUGACCAACUCUGGAAGGAUCUAUCUCCCCAGAAAACAACACCCGUGUUGCUCUCUCAGACCUUGCAACUCUCAUCCCUCUGGUGGUUAAUAAAACAUUUAAACUUUC